GGACCCAGUUCCUGCUUUCUAGGAAGAAAUAGCACAUGCAACCAGCCUCUUCACUGAUGAAAAAAUACCUCACUCCUUUUUAGACAGCUUCUCGUAUUGAUAAUUUUAUAGAAAUGUACUGUAUAAGUGAAAGUCAGCAUUUCCAUUACACAACAGCCUGCUAGAGCUAUGAGGGAAGAGUUGCCACCCACACUGGGCACCACAGGUUCCCUGCACAAGUCACUUUCCCGUUGUGGAUCUAGGUUUCCAUCUUGGUUUUUUUUAUAUUUCAUAGCAACUGUUUCUUGUCUUUGCUUUUCUCCUUUUUUGAACUUGACAUAGGCCACCUGAGAGAGCUCCUUAGGCCAGCAUGCUAAGGUUCAGAGAGGCUACAUAAAUUACUCAGGCUCCGUGAAUGUCAGAUCCACACACCCAUCCUGGGGAC
rnacentral:lncRNA from 10 species